AGUGAACGCUGGCGGUAGGCCUAACACAUGCAUGUCGAACGGCAGCACAGUAAGAGCUUGCUCUUACGGGUGGCGAGUGGCGGACGGGUGAGGAAUACAUCGGAAUCUACUUUUUCGUGGGGGAUAACGUAGGGAAACUUACGCUAAUACCGCAUACGACCUACGGGUGAAAGCAGGGGACCUUCGGACCUUGCGCGAUUGAAUGAGCCGAUGUCGGAUUAGCUAGUUGGCGGGGUAAAGGCCCACCAAGGCGACGAUCCGUAGCUGGUCUGAGAGGAUGAUCAGCCACACUGGAACUGAGACACGGUCCAGACUCCUACGGGAGGCAGCAGUGGGGAAUAUUGGACAAUGGGCGCAAGCCUGAUCCAGCCAUACCGCGUGGGUGAAGAAGGCCUUCGGGUUGUAAAGCCCUUUUGUUGGGAAAGAAAAGCAGCAGGUUAAUACCCCGCUGUUCUGACGGUACCCAAAGAAUAAGCACCGGCUAACUUCGUG
rnacentral:rRNA from 1 species